UAGUAUUUGGAGGCACGAUGUGCGGGCACCGGUCGGCCUAUGGAACCACUGUUGUGUGCUCCGUGCAUUAUGUCGAAGGCAAAUACGCCCUCUAAUCGGUGUGGGCUUGCACGCACCGGUGGGGCUUGAUAGAAAUUCAAGCCUUGACGCUGUACCCUAACGAGAAAGCGAUGAUGACCCGCUGAGGAUGACGAAUCGCGAAAGUGAUGAUGACUCGGAGAGACCCAAAUCGUGAAAGCGUUAGGCGAGAGUGUCGUCAAGAGUUGGUUGCGUACGUAUGUCCCUCCAACCCGGGAGUAAAUUAUCUCUUGAUAAUCUCAAGCCCGCGACGACAGUUUUCAGUGAGCUAAUUCCUGGAUCGUUGUCAAUCGGGCUUGCUUGGUUCACAAGCUCGUGAUGGGUACCGUCGCAUGUGGGAAGGAUUGCUCCCUGAGCUUGCUUAUAUAUAUGUGUGUGAUCGGACUUGUUUCUCAUGCCUCGUUAACGAUUUUGUUAGUGAGCGUUGAUUGAGCUUUGCUCUUGAGGCAUAGCUACGGGAUCGUUUUGUGACUUGAUCCGAUGAUGAUGUUACCGUGCGUUGAUGGAGCUUUGCUCUUGACGCAUAGCUACGGGGUUGUUUGGUCUCUGUUGCGCGAGCAACAUGAGAAACCAGUUCCUUCUACGUUGAUAUAUAUAAGCAAGAGAGGAUGCAAUGGUUCUUACAUGCCACGGUACCCCAUGGACCCUUCUUGAAUAACCCUUCCUGACUUUCCCAUCGUUCGGGGCAUUCUGGGGCUGUUUUGGCUAUUGGUUGCUUGUUUGGUCUUGAGCCGAACGGGUGGCUUCUAGUCUGGCGGCUUCGGGGAUGUUGACCGUAAAGGUGGAUGAGUGGUGUUUGGUUUGUUACGUGUGGUUGGCUGCGGCGUUUGCAACAACUUCCAUGCUUUCAGACCUCUUCAGUUGUGCGGCAAGGCUUGUAUCGCCUUGAGCGUAUUGUGGGUUUUCUGUGUUGGCUACCUAAUCAACGGUAUCGGUUGGAUUGAUCAAAGUUUGAUUUCGUCUUCCGUCGCAUUCGCGGCGUGAGGUGAACCUCGAUGCGGUCUCUUUGAUCCACCUCGCCGAAGCACAUGCUUUGACGUUGUGGCGCAUUGAGCAUUGCUUGGUCUCUUGUAUACGGAACAUAUAGUGGGCAUGGAUCUAACGAUUCUCGUUUGCCCUCAUAUUAGCGUAACGCUUCUCUUACACGACUUGCUCCACGUUUUAGCUCGUACGGACGUGAUGCUAGUCGAAGAGAGAU
rnacentral:misc_RNA from 1 species